rnacentral:SRP_RNA from 1 species
GGGAGGCUGGCGGCGGACGCGUCCCUCGCCAACCGGGUCAGGUCCGGAAGGAAGCAGCCCUAACGAGCCAGACGCGGGUCGUUGUCCAGCCUCCCGCU